GAUGAACGCUGGCGGCGUGCCUAAUACAUGCAAGUCGAGCGAACAGACGAGGAGCUUGCUCCUCUGACGUUAGCGGCGGACGGGUGAGUAACACGUGGAUAACCUACCUAUAAGACUGGGAUAACUUCGGGAAACCGGAGCUAAUACCGGAUAAUAUAUUGAACCGCAUGGUUCAAUAGUGAAAGACGGUUUUGCUGUCACUUAUAGAUGGAUCCGCGCCGCAUUAGCUAGUUGGUAAGGUAACGGCUUACCAAGGCAACGAUGCGUAGCCGACCUGAGAGGGUGAUCGGCCACACUGGAACUGAGACACGGUCCAGACUCCUACGGGAGGCAGCAGUAGGGAAUCUGCCGCAAUGGGCGAAAGCUUGACGGAGCAACGCCGCGUGAGUGAUGAAGGUCUUCGGAUCGUAAAACUCUGUUAUUAGGGAAGAACAAAUGUGUAAGUAACUAUGCACGUCUUGACGGUACCUAAUCAGAAAGCCACGGCUAACUACGU
rnacentral:rRNA from 1 species